UACGUAGGGUGCAAGCGUUGUCCGGAAUUAUUGGGCGUAAAAAAGCUCGUAGGCGGUUUUGUCGCGUCUGCUGUGAAAACUCAGGGCUUAACCCUGAGCCUGCAGUGGGUACGGGCAGACUAGAGUGUGGUAGGGGAGAUCGGAAUUCCUGGUGUAGCGGUGGAAUGCGCAGAUAUCAGGAGGAACACCGGUGGCGAAGGCGGAUCUCUGGGCCAUAACUGACGCUGAGGAGCGAAAAGCAUGGGGGAGCGAACAGGA
rnacentral:rRNA from 1 species